UGCCGACCUAGCUCAGUUGAUAGAGCAUCUCACUAGUAAUGAGGGGGUCGCCGGUUUGAGCCCGGCGGUCGGCAUC
rnacentral:tRNA from 1 species